GAAAUUAACUUGGAGCGGGCCAGGCUUUCAUUUGAUGAAAUACGUAAUGAUUGUCUGCUCUCAUCAGAGGCCUAUGCUGAUGGAAUGCCCUGAUGAUAAUGUUUGCUCCGAAAGUCACAGGCUAGUUCCAAAUGCUGGAACCCCGCUGUAAACACUGUGAUUGGCAGCAGUGGUGGUACAGUAUGAGGGUAAUGAGAGUAGGACAUGACAGAGAGAAGCAUAUCAGCCCCAACAGAUCCCACCAGGCUGAGAGGUAAAAAGAGGGAUUAGUCCAUACGCAGGCCUGAGUCUCCAGUCGACGAGAAGGAAAGCCUUUCUUUGACAUAUUGAUUCAGAGUUAUUAACUUGACUGUAUGUUCCAGCCAGACUAGCCCCCACCGGUUGUAACCGACUUGUCUCAUUACAGUGAA